rfam:Trypanosoma congolense IL3000, WGS project CAEQ01000000 data, contig: 2355
CACCUCAGCAUCAAAGGUCCCUUGGCGGCCGUAUACGUUGAUGCCGCUCCACAGGAUACCCAGUGAGGUAAGA